rnacentral:rRNA from 1 species
UACGUAGGGGUCGAGCGUUGUCCGGAGUUACUGGGCGUAAAGAGCGCGCAGGCGGUCGAAUAAGUCGAAUGUGAAAGCCCCCGGCUCAACUGGGGAGGGUCAUUCGAUACUGUUCGACUUGAAGGCAGGAGAGGGAAGCAGAAUUCCCGGUGUAGUGGUGAAAUGCGUAGAUAUCGGGAGGAAUACCAGUGGCGAAGGCGGUUCUCUGGGCCUGUACUGACGCUGAGGAGCGAAAGCGUGGGGAGCGAACAGG